rnacentral:rRNA from 1 species
GGUUACUGCUAUCGGUGUUCGCCUAAGCCAUGCGAGUCAUAUGUUCGUAAGAACAUGGCGUACAGCUCAGUAACACGUGGAUAACCUGCCCUUGGGUCCGGCAUAACCCCGGGAAACUGGGGAUAAUUCCGGAUAACGCACAUAUGCUGGAAUGCUUUUUGCGUAAAAUGGAUUCGUCUGCCCAAGGAUGGGUCUGCGGCCUAUCAGGUAGUAGUGGGUGUAAUGUACCUACUAGCCUACGACGGGUACGGGUUGUGAGAGCAAGAGCCCGGAGAUGGAUUCUGAGACAUGAAUCCAGGCCCUACGGGACACAGCAGGCGCGAAAACUUUACAAUGCGGGAAACCGUGAUAAGGGGACACCGAGUGCCAGCAUCCUAUGCUGGCUGUCCGGGUGUGUAAAAUACACCUGUUAGCAAGGGCCGGGCAAGACCGGUGCCAGCCGCCGCGGUAACACCGGCGGCCCGAGUGGUGAUCGUGAUUAUUGGGUCUAAAGGGUCCGUAGCCGGUUUAGUCAGUCCUCCGGGAAAUCUGACAGCUCAACUGUUAGGCUAUCGGAGGAUACUGCCAGACUUGGAACCGGGAGAGGUAAGAGGUACUACAGGGGUAGGAGUGAAAUCUUGUAAUCCCUGUGGGACCACCUGUGGCGAAGGCGUCUUACCAGAACGGGUUCGACGGUGAGGGACGAAAGCUGGGGGCACGAACCGGAUUAGAUACCCGGGUAGUCCCAGCCGUAAACGAUGCUCGCUAGGUGUCAGGCAUGACGCGACCGUGUCUGGUGCCGCAGGGAAGCCGUGAAGCGAGCCACCUGGGAAGUACGGCCGCAAGGCUGAAACUUAA